rnacentral:tRNA from 1 species
GCCAUAUUAGCUCAGCUGGUAGAGCAACUGACCUGUAAUCAGUAGGUCGGGGGUUCGAAUCCCUCAUAUGGCACCA